AAGUUUUACUUACGACACACACAGUCUGCAGACACAGAGACAAAACCACAGCAACACGACUCGACUGUGUGUGUUCUAUGUUUUCUAUUGUGCAGCAGCCACCACCAAACUGAAACCUCCACAGUCCAGAAAAAGAAUGACACAGCAGUCAAAAUUCUUUAUUAAAAAUGAUGAUUCAAGCUCUAAAUGUAACGACAUUCAACAAACAAUCACAGAGGACUUGAGUCUCCCGAGCACAGAGGACCCAGCAGAAUGUGACUCGGUCAUUGUGUUUUGUCUGAUUAGAGAUCGAAGAUCAGACGUACAAUUUGCCCUUGAGCAGUUACCAGAACCGGCAAAAACAAAACCAGUUAUUUUAGUGGCGAUUCAUCACACGUGGAAAAAAAACGACCCAGAGAUUGAAAUAUUGGAACAUCAAUCAUGAGAGAAUUGUUCUGACUGUUUCUGUUCUUUUCCAUGAAGAUAAAGGACUAUUUAGAGAUGAAAAAUAUGACAAGGCCAUUCAGAAUAUAAAGGACAU